rnacentral:rRNA from 1 species
AGAGUUUGAUCCUGGCUCAGAAUCAACGCUGGCGGCGCGCCUAACACAUGCAAGUCGAGCGAGAAAGCAGGAGCAAUCUUGUGAGUAAAGCGGCGUACGGGUGAGUAACACGUGGAUCAUCUACCUCUUUGUGGGGGAUAACUCUGGGAAACCGGAGCUAAUACCGCAUAAGUCCGAGAGGAGAAAGCAGCAAUGCGCAGAGAGAGGAGUCCGCGGCCGAUUAGCUAGUUGGUAGGGUAAAAGCCUACCAAGGCUGAGAUCGGUAGCCGGCCUGAGAGGGCACACGGCCACACUGGCACUGAAACACGGGCCAGACUCCUACGGGAGGCAGCAGUGGGGAAUCUUGCACAAUGGGGGCAACCCUGAUGCAGCGACGCCGCGUGAGCGAUGAAGCCCUUCGGGGUGUAAAGCUCUUUCGGCAGGGAAGAUUAUGACGGUACCUGCAGAAGCAGCUGCGGCUAACUACGUGCCAGCAGCCGCGGUAAUACGUAGGCAGCAAGCGUUGUUCGGAGUUACUGGGCGUAAAGGGUGUGUAGGCGGUUCCCUAAGUUUGGUGUGAAAUCUCCCGGCUCAACUGGGAGGGUGCGCCGAAAACUGGGGAGCUAGAGUACUGGAUGGGAGAGUGGAAUUCCUGGUGUAGCGGUGAAAUGCGUAGAUAUCAGGAGGAACACCUGUGGUGUAGACGGCUCUCUGGACAGUAACUGACGCUGAGACACGAAAGCGUGGGUAGCAAACAGGAUUAGAUACCCUAGUAGUCC